rnacentral:rRNA from 1 species
UGUCUGGGGAUGGGCCUGCGGCUGAUUAGCUAGUUGGUGAGGGUAAUGGCCCACCAAGGCGAGGAUCAGUAGCUGGCCUGAGAGGGCGGCCGGCCACAUUGGGACUGAGACACGGCCCAGACUCCUACGGGAGGCAGCAGUGAGGAAUCUUCUGCAAUGGGCGCAAGCCUGACAGAGCAACGCCGCGUGGAGGAAUAAGGCCACUCAAGGCUGUAAACUCCUUUGCACGGGCACAGGAAGGCUGACCGCCCGGGAAGCAAGCAUCGGCUAACUCCGUGCCAGCAGCCGCGGUAAUACGGGGGAUGCAAGCGUUAUCCGGAUUUACUGGGCGUAAAGCGUCUGUAGGCGGUUCGGUGUGUCUGUUGUCAAAACGCAGGGCCUAACUCUGUGGGGCAUCUGGAUACUAUCGAACUAGAGGGCGGUAGAGGUGGGGGGAACCCCUCGAGGAGCAGUGAAAUGCUUUGAUACGUAGAGGAAGGCCGGAGGCGAANGCUCCCCACUGGGCCGCACCUGACGCUGAGAGACGAAAGCUAGGGGAGCGAAUGGGAUUAGAUACCCCAGU